ensembl:lncRNA
UUCCCCAGGUGUGCUGUUCAGAACGGUGUCUUCCCCAGGUGUGCUGUUCAGAACGGUGUCUUCCCCAGGUGUGCUGUUCAGAACGGUGUUUCCUCAGUUAUGCUGUCAGAACAGUGUCUUCCCAGGUGUGCUGUCAGAACGGUGUCUUCCCCAGGUGUGCUGUUCAGAACGGUGUCUUCCCAGGUGUGCUGUUCAGAACGGUGUUUCCCCAGGUGUGCUGUCAGAACAGUGUCUUCCCAGGUGUGCUGUCAGAACGGUGUCUUCCCAGGUGUGCUGUCAGAACGGUGUCUUCCCAGGUGUGCUGUCAGAACGGUGUCUUCCCAGGUGUGCUGUUCAGAACGGUGUCUUCCCAGGUGUGCUGUUCAGAACGGUGUCUUCCCAGGUGUGCUGUCAGAACGGUGUUUCCCCAGGUGUGCUGUCAGAACGGUGUCUUCCCAGGUGUGCUGUUCAGAACGGUGUCUUCCCAGGUGUGCUGUUCAGAACGGUGUCUUCCCAGGUGUGCUGUCAGAACGGUGUCUUCCCCAGGUGUGCUGUUCAGAACGGUGUCUUCCCCAGGUGUGCUGUCAGAAUGGUGUCUUCCCCAGGUGUGCUGU